GGGUAGCUUAGUGGCAGGACAUCUGCUUUGCAUCCAGAAGGUCCCAGGUUCAGUCCCUGGCAAUUCCA